UACGUAGGGGGCAAGCGUUGUCCGGAUUUAUUGGGCGUAAAGCGCGUGUAGGCGGCCUGGAAGGUCUGUUGUGAAAACUCGAGGCUCAACCUCGAGACGUCGAUGGAAACCCCCCAGGCUAGAGUCCGGAAGAGGAGAGUGGAAUUCCUGGUGUAGCGGUGAAAUGCGCAGAUAUCAGGAGGAACACCAAUGGCGAAGGCAGCUCGCUGGGACGUGACUGACGCUGAGACACGAAAGCCAGGGGAGCAAACGGG
rnacentral:rRNA from 1 species